rnacentral:misc_RNA from 1 species
GAAAUGCGAUAAGUAAUGUGAAUUGCAGAAUUCAGUGAAUCAUCGAAUCUUUGAACGCACCUUGCACUCCUUGGUAUUCCUUGGAGCAUGCCUGUUUGAGUAUCAUGAAAUCUUCAAAGUAAAUCUUUUGUUAACUCAAUUGGUUUCUACUUUGGUAUUGGAGGUCUUUGCAGCUUCACACCUGCUCCUCUUUGUUCAUUAGCUGGAUCUCAGUGUUAUGCUUGGUUCCACUCGGCGUGAUAAGUUAUCUAUCGCUGAGGACACUGUAAAAGGUGGCCAAGGUAAAUGCAGAUGAACCGCUUCUAAUAGUCCAUUGACUUGGACAAUACUUUUAUGAUCUGAUCUCAAAUCAGGUAGGACUACCCGCUGAACUUAAGC